CAGAGAGUUAUCUGAGUUACUGUUACUGCAUGUGCAUGCAAUAAUUCAUGUGUCAUAGAAGAACAGUGGGGCAGACUGGAGUUCUUUAGAUGCAUUCUUUAAGAAUAGAAAAUCUGAUCUACAAGAUUUUUGCCAAAACUCCUUUCAUCUUGGAUAGUAUCAAAAAGGCAGGUCACUUCUCCCGUGGUGGUCACUCUGGUUAGUAGAAAGCAAAUGAAAUUAUGGCAUCAAUGGAGAAAAAUGAGAAAUGGAGUGUUUGGGUUUUGAUUUUGGAAUGGUUAUAUUUUCCCCCUCCUGCAGCUGAUUUAAUGAGGGUAAUGGUUUUCUUUAGUUUUCCUCUAUAGCUCUGCAGUGCUUAACAGCUUGUUACUGAGGGACCUACACACUUGGUAAUCCAUGGAAAUCCAAGUUAGUGAAAGACAUGGAAAAACAUGUUUAAACAGAUCACAGCUGAAGCUGAGAACUUAAUCUUUCUGUGACAGAAGGUAGCCAGCACAGCCUCAGCUUCACACUAACCAUCAGGAAAGGUUAGUGUGAAGUACCAAGCUUAACUCACUGCUGGAGAAAUGGGAUAGAAAAUCAGGUAACAGCAGUUUAGUUUCACACCUGAGCAUAUGAGAAGUAGCCUCUCUCUGCAAGAGACUGCAGCUUGGCAAAAAUAAUGUCUUUGCAUGGGGGUUUGUUGCUGGCAGUGGCAAAAAUCCUGAUAGAGCAGUAUUUCUCCAAAUGACUUCAGGUAAAAGUCAAAUAUGGAGGGUUCUUAUGCAACAUGAGAGUUCCCCUUUCGAAACAGUGGUUUGGAGAGAAAAAGUCAUUGGUCUGGGUCUAGGACAAAAGUUAAACAAGAUAAACAAGGAUGGACUGCUGCCAUCUUCCCCUUCCCCUUUAUCUCUAAACCUUAACCUUAAACUGCAAGUUUGAGGUUAAUGCAGUGCAGUGUGUCUGCAACUGCUGAAACCAGCUAUGUUUUAAUAGAUCUUAUUUAUUUUGAUGAUGAUGAAGGUCUGAAAGUUCCUCUAGUUUGUUUGGUUAAAUUUAUUUUUUUUUUACCAUCUGCAACUGUGACUAACCCCAAACAGAGCCACUCAUAUGUAGAAGAGGAAAACUUAAUAUUCAUUGAAAUUUCACUGAGGUACUUCUUGGUAAGUCCAAGAUGUUUACUAAGUAAAUUGGAUAGAAUGGUAGUGAUUGUUACAGGACCCCUUAGAGCAUGCUUUCCAUCUCACUUUUCAUCUCUGGUAAGUAGAUUAUGAAUAUAAGAGUCUGCCUUGUAUUGGGAACUCUGACAGGUGAAAAGUGCUCUCUGUUUAUAGCACAUGCAGGGCCCUGACCUCUCUCAUGCUUUUCAUCCCUCAAACUCUGCUAGAUAGUGCUUAAAGAAAUAUGAAGUGCUUGCUGAGACUCGAAAAUGUGACCACGGUAGAAGCUGUGGUUCUCUGAGGGGUCUCAUUUAUUUCCAUAUGGACUUUGGUUUUCCUCAAAAGCAAAAUUUCAGUGUAAGGAUGACCUUGGAAACAGAGGUGUGGGGUGGCUUUUAAAAUUUUCAAGAAGCAUCCAGCAGGACUACAGCUGUGCUAAGGAAAGAAGCCAUCUUCUCUUGGAUUGGACUCCAACCCAACCAGAGGGACGGAAAACAGCUUUCCUUGGAGAGGUCUGGAUUGCUUCUGGCUGAUCCUGGCUGUGCUGCACUGGUUUUAGGGCCACAGCACAUAGGAGAAGUGAGGACAUGAUUGCCAUCAGCUGGGAUGUGCAGGCCAGGUAAUCUGUGCUCUGAGCAUCUCCUGUCCAGAACACCCAUCUACCAACAAAUGUGUGCACUGCACUGCCUCUCAACGUUUGAAACUUCCCCUGUCUCUAAAGGAAAGGCCUCCACAUCCACAGUAUGUGUGGCAUAGGUGUGGGAAUGGCACCACCAGUGGUGUAACAACUCUGAUACUAGGCUGCCACUACAGUUGUUCUGGGAUUAAUGCUGGUACUGAGCUUAGAACUGUUGAAUGAGUCUUGAAACUCCAUUUAUGCAUAAACGACUGCUUAAACCUGGUUAUUUCUUGUUUCCUUGUGCAUGUGGCUUUUCUAGGCUGUCUGCUUUUUCCACAGUAACUUCCGAGCCCUGCUUGGGCAGGGGUUGUCACCUCCCAGCAUAGAGGUCAUAGAUCAUAGAGGUAGGUAUCCUCCAGGCAGGGGUGCUGCAUGCUUUCUAAUCCGGCAAUUAGGAAAAACACCCACCACGAGACAGUUUGCAGUGCUUCACUAAAUAAUUAAUAGAUAUUAAAGUCUCCAGGACUUGGGAAUCAGAUGGAUGCUGACUUUUCAUGCAAUGCUGUAUAGUGUUUAGGCAAAAGGUUAAAAUUAUACCUACUCUAAUAGAAAUCUAUACCAUAACAUGGAGGCAGAAAGACAGACAGAAUUAGUAGCAGUGCUUCCUCCUUUAGCAGGAAUCAAGCUGAGACAGAGAGUUUAUAAAUAUUUUCUUUUUUUGUUUUUUCCUUUCACAUGACUUCUUGUUAGAAGGCUGAAAACAGACUUCUGUUAACUUUCGGUUAUUAAAAUCCAAAGAGCUGUCUGAGAAAGAAAUCGGGGCCUGACAACCCAGCAGGGUAAUGGGAAACUUAAUAAAUAUCCUGUUGUUAUAACA
ensembl:lncRNA